rnacentral:rRNA from 1 species
UACGGGGGGAGCAAGCGUUGUUCGGAUUUAUUGGGCGUAAAGAGCGUGUAGGCGGCCAGGUAGGUCUGGUGUGAAAACUCGAGGCUUAACCUCGAGAUGUCAUCGGAAACCAUCUGGCUAGAGUCCGGAAGAGGAGAGUGGAAUUCCUGGUGUAGCGGUGGAAUGCGCAGAUAUCAGGAGGAACACCGGUGGCGAAGGCGGGUCUCUGGGCAGUAACUGACGCUGAGGAGCGAAAGCGUGGGGAGCGAACAGG